rnacentral:rRNA from 1 species
CCCUUAGAUGUUCGGGGCCGCACGCGCGCUACACUGAAGGAAUCAGCACGUCUUUCUCCUUGUCCGAAAGGACUGGGUAACCCGCUGAACCUCCUUCGUGCUAGGGAUUGGGGCUUGUAAUUCUUCCCCAUGAACGAGGAAUUCCCAGUAAGCGCGAGUCAUAAGCUCGCGUUGAUUACGUCCCUGCCCUUUGUACACACCGCCCGUCGCUACUACCGAUUGGAUGGUUUAGUGAGAUCCUCGGAUUGGUCCCGGUGCGGCCUCUGGUCGUGCCGGAGUGCCGAAAAGAAUGUCGAACUUGAUCAUCUAGAGGAAGUAAAAGUCGUAACA